GGCCUCCUGGUGCUUGCCACAGGCUGUGUUCUUACACUGACUGUACAGAUAAAGAGAAGGAAAAGCAAACCUACCCCACACACACUUCAACCCCCGUGCCUGGUCUGUACCUUGAAUGAGAACAUGUGG
rnacentral:snoRNA from 1 species